rnacentral:rRNA from 1 species
AAUAAUAAUUAUUUUUUUUAAAUCAUCUCAUCUGACCUUGAAAGCAAAGUUGGGCCUGGUUAGAACUUGGUUGGGAGACUAAAUGGGAAUACUAGGUGCUGUAAGCU